rnacentral:rRNA from 1 species
AGUGAACGCUGGCGGUAGGCCUAACACAUGCAAGUCGAACGGCAGCACAGUAAGAGCUUGCUCUUACGGGUGGCGAGUGGCGGACGGGUGAGGAAUACAUCGGAAUCUACUUUUUCGUGGGGGAUAACGUAGGGAAACUUACGCUAAUACAGCAUACGACCUACGGGUGAAAGCAGGGGAUCUUCGGACCUUGCGCGAUUGAAUGAGCCGAUGUCGGAUUAGCUAGUUGGCGGGGUAAAGGCCCACCAAGGCGACGAGCCGUAGCUGGUCUGAGAGGAUGAUCAGCCACACUGGAACUGAGACACGGUCCAGACUCCUACGGGAGGCAGCAGUGGCGAAUGUUGGACAAUGGGCGCAAGCCUUAUCCAGCCAUACCGCGUGGGUGAAGAAGGCCUUCGGGUUGUAAAGCCCUUUUGUUGGGAAAGAAAAGCAGCAGGUUAAUACCCCGCUGUUCUGACGGUACCCAAAGAAUAAGCACCGGCUAACUUCGUG